rnacentral:misc_RNA from 1 species
GAAAAAGCUCGUCAUCUAUUUUCUUUGAUGACCGAGCGAGGAAUUCCACAAAAUACCGUUACUUACAACAGUUUGAUGUCAUUUGAGACCAACUAUAAGGAGGUCGCAAACAUUUAUGAUCAGAUGCAAAGAGCUGGUCUUCAACCUGAUGUUGUUAGCUAUGCACUGCUCAUUAGUGCAUAUGGAAAGGCUAGAAGAGAAGAGGAGGCACUAGCUGUUUUUG